GUUGUUUGGUUAGGAUACUGGAUCUUUUGUCCCAGUACAUGCAUUGAAAUAUAUUGUAUUAUAAAAAAAUAGAUAUAUCUUCACAGCAUGCAUUUUGCACACAUGAGUACAUAUUUAAUUCCAUACCUAAAUUAGCAUUUUUGUCUUGCAUCUGUUGAGCAAGUGUGUGGUCCCAAGUGGCCCCGAGAAGCACUGAUAAAAAAUUGUCCCCCCCCUAGCAUUUAAGAUGCCCAUCCCUGAUCUAGAUUGACUGAAAGAAAAGAAACAAAUUGGGAUGAUAAAAAUAAAUCCAAGCAUCUACCAAAUCUGUCAAUAUUCCAAGAAAGACGAUAAAUAAAUUUCAGUUGCACUGGCACCCAAGCUAAAGCACCACUUUCUUUUCGUGCCUUUUAAUCUCUAAAGCUGACUUUUGAAGUUGCUGGAAUGGGAGUUGGCCCAGUGUUACACUGGUGAAUUCCACAAACCUGCGGAGUGCAACCAGGGGCUUCAAGUGUUGAUUCGGACCAGUAUUCAUCUGAACAUGACAACAAUGGAGUUAGCCCAUGAGUCAGUUCUCAGUAGCUCAACUUGUCAAAUGAAAGACACACACAAAGAGAAGACGAAAGCCCUAAUAAUGGGUUGGACUCAUCUCAGAAGGCAGCAGGCCAACCUUUGGACUGGUGACAAAAAAAAAUAUGGAGUGGAUAUGGGGACCACAGCUGAAUGACGGACUUGUGACAAACCAUCACGACGCGUUUGCAAAUGGCCUCGCGUGUAAGUGCAUUCACUUUUCAUUUGUGUGACAAUGGCUGGCGCUUACGAUGUCGACUCGUUUGGGAUUUUUGUUUUAGCUGCAGAGGAGACUUCACGCAAACUCCAAAGUUCAGGGAACAUGCACUCUCUGUCAUGUUAGGAAAAAAAAAAACUGAGAAAAGUACAUGCGAUUGAUGAAUAUCCAUGAUAUCAAGGGAUUAUUUUAAAAAAAAGAAUCACAAAUAAAAAUGUUUAUCCUGUAUGACAGUGGUUCAAACCUCUGCUGUAUAAAAAAAAGAGAUGAUUAGAAACACAAGAUAAUAUGAAUAGAUCACACUUGUCUUGAUAGAAACGAUGACCACUGUAGUUACAUUCAAUCGCCAUCGUCGAAAUGAGGGCAGGUGCACAAAUAAUUGCGUUGCACUUUUAUUGUAUUAUUUGUUUUGCUUUUUCUUUUACACUUGUAAGGCAAUUAAGAAUGUUGAAUAGUGACUUCAAGCAUUGUCCGGACAGUGUGACCAGUUUGAGUGAAUCAGCUCAAUUUCCAACUUCUUAUGUACAGUAAAAAGAAGAAAAAAGCCAUUUACAGAAACAUUUAUGUUUACAUGAAGGUCUAUCUAUAAACAUAUCGUGUCACAUACGCAACUGUAGAAUAUUGAAUCAUAACUAACUUCACUGGCAGGUGAAAUGAUGACAGCUGUUUUCUUUUGUGUUCAGUGAGGAUUGUUUCUUCAUUGCGGGGGAGGAAAAAAAAACACAAAGCCUCAAGAAGCUUCAUUUUGGUCUCAAGAAACAAAAGUGACUUUGUGAUGUUGACGAUAGAAUGAAUGCAAACAUUUCAAUUGGGCCAAAGUCAUCUACCGUUAUAUGCAAGGAGCUGCACCAUUCGAUGCAAUGCUGGAUCCUACACGUGCAUGUCAACUUUUUAAAUUUCCUUUUCGUUCUGUUUUGAAGCCUUUCGAGUUGAAUGUUUGACGCCGUAGAAUUGAUUCCCGUGCGCGCUGGCUUUCGAAGGGGCAAUUGAAACUUGAAAAACGGUUCAAUUGUUUUGUGGUGGUCCAAAGUCGACAGACUCUAAGAUGGUCAAAGUUCACGAGGGAAUCGUUUUAGGUUGGCAGCCAUUUUGCGGUGUCAGUUGUGUGUUGCGAAAUCCCUUUGAGCUAAAUUGCAACGUGCCUCUUUCAAAUUCCUUCACUGUCCUUUGACUUGAAAUGAAAUGUUGAAUUUUGUACAGGUCAUGAGCACUCUCUCAGGCAGCUGUGCUGUCUUAUUUAGUGUCAGUGUGAUCAGGAUGGGGAAUUGUGUGAAAUGUGUGUUUGGUUGGUUGGUGCUGAAGAUUUUACACUCGGAACAAGAGUCCUUUUAAGAAAUCAUGUCACAGUUUUGUCAAUGCAUCCAAUGCUCGGAGGAUAACAGUGUAGUGGCCGUGUAAAAGAGAACUAUGUUGACAUGGAUUCGUUCUUCACGAAAUCACUUGGAUAACAUGCUAUGUGUAUUCGUGGCACACAGAAACCAGAGAAAAUACGCAUGUAUACACAUAUGACUUUUUAUUUUUCUUGAAAAUGUACAACUUUAUUUUGAGUAAAAAAAAAAAAAAUACAGGUAUUUGUCUCCAAAAUCUGUUACAUUCUUAUUUUGAAAACAUGUGAGUUAAUGCUUGUCUGAUUACAUCAUUUGAUUUUGAAAAUAUGUGACGAUUUUUAAAGAACUCGCAAAAUUUUCUCAAAAAAAUACUGUGUAUGACUUAAUUCCUGUAAUAUUACAACUUUGCAUGACGAUAAUCUCAUAGUGUAAAAAAAUAUAUAUAUAAAUAUAUUUCUGAGUGGCCCGAAUACUCAUAGUCUCAUACUAUGUCAACACACAGAAGUGCACUCAUUAUAAAAAUUUUAAAAAAAAACUCCCUUGAAAGUCUUUAUACCCGAAGUGCAAUCAGAAUACUCGCACAUUUUAUUUUCAGCAUUUGAAAUGGAAGUGUAUCAUCUUGAGCACAACUCUAAAGCAUUAUGUCGGUUGCCUGCUCAAGGAAUCAAAGCCACUAGGUUUUUCCUCUCGGUUCAUCUGAUGAAUAAUUUUGAAUGUUAUAUUAGUGUCAUUUUAACUAAUCUGCGCUCCCCCCAAAAAUUCCUUUUUAUUUUGCCUUGGUCUCCUCAUGAAUUUUACUGCUGUCUGUGGAAUGUCGAUUUGAGCAAUCGUUACAUACCCUUCAUCCCCAACUUAAGGUCCGUGUACUAGUAUAUUCGUAUAUAACUAGGGCGCACUUGUAGAACGACUGUGUCUUACUAGUAACAGUCUGUGCUGUUUGUAGGAGAACAAGAGUGAGGUACACACGUACAAAUUGUCAAUAUCUUAACCAUU